rnacentral:rRNA from 1 species
UACGAAGGGGGCUAGCGUUGUUCGGAUUAACUGGGCGUAAAGGGUGCGUAGGCGGGGUUUUAAGUCAGGGGUGAAAUGCCGAGGCUCAACUUCGGAACUGCCUUUGAUACUGGAACUCUUGAGUCUGGGAGAGGUGAGUGGAACUGCGAGUGUAGAGGUGAAAUGCGUAGAUAUCGUUUGGAACGCCGAUGGUGAAAACAGGUCGCUGGGGCUGUGCUGACGCUGAGACACGAAAGCCAGGGGAGCGAACGGG